GCGGAUAUAGUUCAGUUGGUUAGAGCGUCAGAUUGUGGUUCUGAAUGUCGUCGGUUCGAGCCCGACUAUUCGCC
rnacentral:tRNA from 1 species